AGGGAGACACAGAAUCCAAAGCAGGCUCCAGGCUCUGAGCUGUCAGCACAGAGCCCGUCACAGGGCUGGAGCUCGUGAACUGUGAAAUCAUGACCUGAG